AUCUUUGAACGCACCUUGCGCUCCUUGGUAUUCCGAGGAGCAUGCCUGUUUGAGUGUCAUUAAAUUCUCAACCUUUAUCACUUUUUGCUGAUAAUGGCUUGGAUAUGGGGGUUUAUUUUGCUGGCUUCUUUACGGAUGGUCAGCUCCCCUUAAAUGCAUUAGCCGGUGCCCCGCGUGGACUGUCUAUUGGUGUGAUAAUUAUCUACGCCGUGGACAUCUGCAAUUAUAUGGGUUUGCACUGCUUCCAACCGUCUGUUCAAUCAGACAAUACAUGACAAUUUGACCUCAAAUCAGGUAGAC
rnacentral:rRNA from 1 species